rnacentral:rRNA from 1 species
CCUACGGGAGGCAGCAGUGGGGAAUUUUGGACAAUGGGGGCAACCCUGAUCCAGCCAUGCCGCGUGCAGGAUGAAGGUCUUCGGAUUGUAAACUGCUUUUGUCAGGGACGAAAAGGGAUGCGAUAACACCGCAUUCCGCUGACGGUACCUGAAGAAUAAGCACCGGCUAACUACGUGCCAGCAGCCGCGGUAAUACGUAGGGUGCAAGCGUUAAUCGGAAUUACUGGGCGUAAAGCGUGCGCAGGCGGUUCUGUAAGAUAGAUGUGAAAUCCCCGGGCUCAACCUGGGAAUUGCAUAUAUGACUGCAGGACUUGAGUUUGUCAGAGGAGGGUGGAAUUCCACGUGUAGCAGUGAAAUGCGUAGAUAUGUGGAAGAACACCGAUGGCGAAGGCAGCCCUCUGGGACAUGACUGACGCUCAUGCACGAAAGCGUGGGGAGC